AGAGUUUGAUCAUGGCUCAGGACGAACGCUGGCGGCGUGCCUAACACAUGCAAGUCGAACGUCCUCGGGCAACCGAGGGAGUGGCGGACGGGUGAGUAACACGUGAGUACCUGCCCUUUAGUUCGGAAUACCGGCGAGAAAUCGCCGACAAGACCGCAUAGCUUCGCGAGAAGUAAAGCCCGCAAGGGCGCUAGAGGAUG
rnacentral:rRNA from 1 species